GCUGGGCGUGGUGGCUCACGCCUGUAAUCCCAGCACUUUGGGAGGCUGAGGCGGGUGGAUCACCUGAGGUCGGGAGUUCAAGACCAGCCUGACCAACAUGGAGAAAUCCCGUCUCUA
rnacentral:SRP_RNA from 1 species